rnacentral:lncRNA from 1 species
AGCUGCCAGACCUCUGACCCAGGGGAGGGAAGCUGGUGUCAAUCUCUUGACUUGUGUAAAAGAAAUUCAAACAGGUGGCCCCAUCAUUCUGAAAGACUGUGCUUCAACUUCCAAUAGUGGAUGGAGGCUACUCAUCCAUCUCUCUCUUGAAGACUCAGCUCGGACAGAACGCAGUGGACACGGAAGUCUCCGCAGUUCACCUAUCUGAGGAAUGGAGCAAAUAGCUCCCUGUGAAACAGACUCCGAGCAACAAGGUCCUAAUCUGUGUUCUCAGUAAAAUCCAAGAGGUCAUUGCUGCUGGGAAAACGGUCCAAGCAGUCUCGAGGAGUCCACCUCUGUGAGCAGGAAAGACAGCAUGGAGAUGAAAACUGUGAUUGCCAAACUGCAAGCCCCCACGGAGGCCCUGGAUACCACAGAAAUGUAAAUCAACGGAGAAGAUGAGUUUGAGAAACUCUCCCGGAAUCCAGAGGAAAGAAACAUGAAAAGGGGAUUAUGGGGUGAGAUCCAAAGAAUUCCUGCAGCUUUGAAGUCCAGAGUGAGAAAUGAGAAGGACCCAGGAGACC